AUAAAACCAACAAUUUUAACGACUGUUGCAUCAGUAUUUCUUCUAAACAGUAAAUCUGGUGCCGGCAAGAUGCGUCGGGGAAUGAGCAAGCAAGAGAAGGAAAUUAUCGCGGACUUACUACCAAAUCCGGAACAGGCGCCCGAUCUUCUCUCUGAUGAGGAGCUGGAAAAGAGAGCAUUCAAUUCAUAUGACAAAAGCGACGCAGAAGUGGAUGCAAAAUGUCACAAAGAGGCUGCGCUUGCCCAACAGCGCGAAGGUAUGGUUUGAGGGUUUGUCUACCACACUCUGCAGAGACUGCAAAAACUGCUUAUUAUCAAACAUUAAAAUAGACUUCUACUGAAUAUGCGCAUGUCCUCUACCAGGUGAAGCACAAUAUAUCGCGCGUUUGCAGCCACUGCAUCCAAUAUGCUACUGGACUGUGAGUUACACGUGAGUAUGUGAGAGAACUCUCCAUUGCACUGACUUUGCUUGAAGAUAUUUCCAGGGAUGCUUUUAAGGUCCAUUUGCCAUUUCAGGGACCUUGGCUAUGUUGAUCCUGAAACGAAGCAGCAGGAGUAUUGCA
rnacentral:lncRNA from 1 species